rnacentral:rRNA from 1 species
CUUUCCCUCUUCCUUCCUGCCUUACACAUGCAAGUCGAACGGCAGCACGGGUGCUUGCACCUGGUGGCGAGUGGCGAACGGGUGAGUAAUACAUCGGAACAUGUCCUGUAGUGGGGGAUAGCCCGGCGAAAGCCGGAUUAAUACCGCAUACGAUCUACGGAUGAAAGCGGGGGACCUUCGGGCCUCGCGCUAUAGGGUUGGCCGAUGGCUGAUUAGCUAGUUGGUGGGGUAAAGGCCUACCAAGGCGACGAUCAGUAGCUGGUCUGAGAGGACGACCAGCCACACUGGGACUGAGACACGGCCCAGACUCCUACGGGAGGCAGCAGUGGGGAAUUUUGGACAAUGGGCGAAAGCCUGAUCCAGCAAUGCCGCGUGUGUGAAGAAGGCCUUCGGGUUGUAAAGCACUUUUGUCCGGAAAGAAAUCCUUGGCCCUAAUACGGUCGGGGGAUGACGGUACCGGAAGAAUAAGCACCGGCUAACUACGUG